UAGAACAGAAAAAACUAAACCAUGAUUGCAGAGAACGGCACAAAUGAAAAAUAUUAUUGAUUUGAUUUUGUAGGAUAAAAUAUAUUAUUAGAUACUCAUAUUCAUUCUAAAUGUGUGCCUUUAAAUAAGCAAUACAAAACAGCAAAUGGUUGUGUAACUGCACAACUGAAAACACAACCACCGGUAGUUUUAUUAAUUAAAUCUAAACUAAUGUAAUAACACCAACACUUUCUAACUGCUCCAUUCUCCAAGAGCUAGAUCUAGCAGGAAACAAUUUCAUUGGAAAAUUGUCAAGGGGCAUUGGAAACCUCUCGCCUGGGCUAUCAAAACUGUGCUUGAAUGACAACAACAUCACUGGCAAUGUACUAGAAGAGAUUGGCAACCUUACUGAGCUGAUAAUUUUCUCUCAGAGUAAUAAAAAAGUGAUUGGGCAAGUUCCGAGUGCACUAGGCUAUCUGAAGAAUCUACAAUGGUUGGAUUUGAGCUCCAACAAAUUUCAACACAGCAUCCCAUCAGAGUUCAAAAUGCUGGUAAAUUUGGAAUAUCUAUAUCUUCAGCUAAAUCGUAUAUCUGGAGGCAUUCCUUCAUAAUUGGGUAGUCUGAAACAGUUGAGGCAACUUGACUUCAGUCAUAACGAACUCACAGGAUGGAUUACGAAUACCAUUGGGCAGUGUUUUCGCCUCGAGAUGAUUGAUCUCUCAUACAACCAUCUCACAGGAAAUAUCCCUAUGGAGAUCUCAAACCUCCAUUCGCUGGCAUUUUAUCUCAAUUUUUCAUUCAAUAUAUUGACAGGGAGACUGCCUUCUCUGGGAGGAAUGCAGCAGGUUGAAGCCAUAGAUAUCUCAGCUAAUAAACUGUCAGGACUUAUCCCUAGCGAUAUUAGCAGUUGCUCGGGAUUGAGAUACCUGAACCUUUCCAAAAACAAAUUGGAGGGAAUGAUACCAACAUUGAUUGGGCAACUUAAGAGCCUGGAAAGCAUUGGCAUGUCUUUCAAUGAGUUGUCUGGACCAAUGCCACGCUCUAUUACAAAUCUCACCAUGCUUGGGCAAUUAAAUUUCUCACACAACAACUUGAAUGGAUCAGUCCCGAAUCAAGGAGCUUUCAGAAACCUAGGCGCAACAUUCUUUUUGGCAAAUCUGGGAUUAUGUGCAGCCUCAGGUUGGUUGAAUUUACCGAACUGUACAAGCUCUGUCAAAAAACAUGAUGCGUUGAACAGGAACAUUGUCUUGGUGGCUUCAAUUGGCACAUUCUUCGCAUCGUGUUUCAUUUUGAGAGCGUUUUACUUUUUCUACACCAAAAUCAAAAGGGCACCAAUUACUUAUAGUUUGUUGGGGCAAGGAUUCAUGCAAAAUUCUACCCAGGAACUUUACACAGCAACCCAAGGAUUUAGUGCCGCUAAUUUGCUAGGGAAUGGCAACUUUGGGUCAGUUUCAAAGGGCUCUUGUCUAAUAACAAGUUGGUGGCUAUUAAGUUGUUUGAUCAGGACCCUCAAAAUUCAUACAAGCAUUUCAUUAGGGAAUGUAGAGUAAUCAGAAAAAUCAGGCACCGGAAUCUUAUAAAAGUCUUGUCUUCUUCCUCCACUGGAGAUUUCAGGGCUCUGGUACUCGAGUUUAUGUCAAAGGGGAGCCUAGAACAACACCUGCAUUUGGAUGAAACACGAUGUAGGUUGAGUUUGAAUAUCAGAGUGAACAUUUGAUGUUGCAUGGGAUGGCUUAUUUGCACCAUGAUUGUUCUCCCCCUAUUGUUCACUGCGACUUGAAACCCUCAAAUGUGUUAAUGGAUGAAAGCAUGACAGCCCAUGUGGCUGAUUUUGGAAUUUUGACUCUAUUGACGUCCUCUGUUUCAACAAGUACCAGCACAUCCAGACUGAAAGGAACAGUAGGCUACCUUGCUCCAGGGAUAUGUUAGAUGCUAUGAUCCAAAAUGUCUUAUAUGAUAUAGUUGAGAGACCAUGCCCGCAAGACCCACAAAUUAGAUUAUAAAGAAAUGGGUAGUGAAAAAACCCUUCAAUUUCGCCAUUUAAUUGAACCAAAAUGACUUCCAAAAGAAACAGGAAAAGGCUUAUCAUGGCUACAGCAGCUGCAGCUGCAGCUGAGCAGCAUCAGCAUCAGCAUUGGCGUUUUACUUUAUUUGGAAAGCUUUCAGAUCAUACGACCCUGACCCAGAUGAGGAUGAACCUUGUGGUGAGGAUGGGGAUGAGAAUUUGAUGAAAAGUAAUGAGGAAAAGCUGGCCAAGGUAAAGGGCACUGCAGAAGAAGAUAGUGGAUUUAGGCUUGAAGAAUUUGAGGCGUUUAUUGCAGAAAAAUAUGGAGCAGUACUUGUAGAGGGUGUAAAGAAAUCGUUGGAUUAUCAGGAAUAUCACGAACCCAACAAUGGAGUGAGUUGAGGAAUUUGAGGAGACUGUUGCUGGAAAACAUGGACGAGUACUUGUAGAGAGCAAAACAAUUCAUUGGAUUGCGAGGAUUCUCACAAACCCACUAAAGAGGUCUGCGCGAGAAAUGAUAAGGAAGAAAGUAAUUUGAUAUUGGGUCUUGUGGGGAAGGAAGAAGCGGGACAUAAUUGUUUAUCUUCAUUCUCAGAUGGGUUUGAGUCUUGCUUCAUUAGUAAUGAGACAGAUGAAGAAGGUCCCAUUCUUUGACAAGUCAGUUUGGAAAGCAACAGCUUCAGUUUUACUGCGGUAGGAAUCAAGGUAUGAAUUCCGAAGUUUUUGUGACUGAAAUUUGUAAUUCUAGAGAUGUCAGUUUCGACGAAUUAUCCAUGCAGGAUCUAUCAGAAGGGGAUUCGAUUUUUUCAUCUGACUCACAGAAGGAAUCAGACAGGCAGGCUAGUACAGACUUUGAAUUUGAUAGCCCUAACAGUAGCAUUAAGAAUAUGGAUAUGAAUCCUAAAGUCCUUGGGACCGAAUUAUGUGAAAUGAGUGAUGGAGGUGGGUUAUCAGGGCAGUCAUCAGGGAAUGGGCAUCAUCAUUAAUUUGAUGUUGGAGAUUUUAAAAAGCCCUAUCCUUUCGAGAUUAAUUUACAGGGAGAAUUUGAUAUCAGCACAAAUAAGGGAGUUGAAGGUUUAGCACCAAGCGAGAGACUUGAGCUAGAGACACUAAAUCCCUUAGAUGAGUCAUUGAAGACUUCUUGUGCCAUUGGGAUCGAGGAACCUGAUUAUGGAAUAUCUGCAGAGUCUUUCAAGCCGUGGAGGAACAAGUUUUCCUUAGCAACAUUCAUAUUCCGAGCUCAGGAGGCUCUCUGACAGAAACAUCCAACGUUGAACAUGUCGCUUGUAAUGAAGUGGAUGAACAUUUAUCAGGAGGAGGGAUUUCCUCUUUAAAUGAUACUAUCACUCCGCACACUAAUUAUCUGUUGGAGGACCUACAAGGUCAGAAUAGCCCGGCGGGUGGAUUUGACAAGAUGUCUAAUGCUAAUACUGAGUCUUCAAGUUUAUCCGGGUUUGGCUCACCAUCUUCACCAACAGCCUUCAGAAUCAGGGCAUCACAAAAGUAAAGAAGCAUCUUUAAAACUUGAUGCUGAUCUUUCCAUCAUGAAUCAGAAUAUUGAAAAUCCGAGCUUUCAGACCCCUGUUGAUGAAGUCUUUCGUGCUAGUGAUAAGGAUAUGAACAAAUGCACGAGUGAUGUGUUGGAGGAUGGCAAGAGGUUGGUAGUGCAAGUCACACAACAGCCUGAAGUUGGCAGUAUGGACAAUAUUAAUAAUGGUUUAGAAAACUCAAAAUCUGAUUCAUUUGGAACUCAUUCAUCAAGUUCAGGUGGGAUGGAAUGUGAUACACUGUCUACUAAUGAUUCUCAAGACACGGUCAACUGUUCAAACUUUGCAACCAAUGAGCACGAUGAUCCUCACAAAGGUGCAGAUUUAGGGGAGCAGCUAAACAGACAAACUGCCCUACUGCAAACAUUUGACAAGGCUAAACAAAAACACUAAGGAUGGCAAUUUGAAGUUUGAAAAACAUUUGAGUCAGUUAUCGAGUUUGCCUCACAUAAGUUCUGAUGAAUUCUCAGAGCAUCUCUUGGAAGGUGUAAGGAAGACUUCAAACAUUGAAACCAGCCUAAAUGGAUAUUUGACCAAGCAAGCAGAAGGCUUGGAUGCUUAUGAUGCAUAUUUAGCCGAUCCUUCUCUAUCACCUUCAAUGAAGUCCCAGGUCUUUAGGGCCAAAGGAAUUGCACAAAAGCUGUGUGCAGCUAGGGAGGGAUAACUUAUAGAUGGUAUCUACUCUGUACCAUGUUUGAGCUCUUACUUUUGUGUUUUAUUCUGUAGUCAAUGACAGAAUUUAAUUUAGAACACAACUCUUUUUAGAAGUCACAAAUUUAAGUUUAUAUAAAAGCAUCAUUCAAUCAUAGAUGUAAAUCAUGUAAACAUCCAAUGCUGCAUACUGCAUAGAUGUAAAUUAUGUAAAUUAUGUAAACAUCCAAUGCUGCAUACAGCAUUAGUUUUAACACAAUUGGAAGUCUUCAUCCA